rnacentral:rRNA from 1 species
UGGCUCAGAACGAACGCUGGCGGCAUGCCUAACACAUGCAAGUCGAACGAUUGCCUUCGGGUGAUAGUGGCGCACGGGUGUGUAACGCGUGGGAAUCUGCCCUUAGGUUCGGAAUAACAGCUGGAAACGGCUGCUAAUACCGGAUGAUAUCGCGAGAUCAAAGAUUUAUCGCCUGAGGAUGAGCCCGCGUUGGAUUAGGUAGUUGGUGGGGUAAAGGCCUACCAAGCCGACGAUCCAUAGCUGGUCUGAGAGGAUGAUCAGCCACACUGGGACUGAGACACGGCCCAGACUCCUACGGGAGGCAGCAGUGGGGAAUAUUGGACAAUGGGGGAAACCCUGAUCCAGCAAUGCCGCGUGAGUGAUGAAGGCCCUAGGGUUGUAAAGCUCUUUUACCCGGGAAGAUAAUGACUGUACCGGGAGAAUAAGCCCNGCUAACUCCGUGCCAGCACCGCGGUAUACCGGAGGGGGCUACUUUGUCGG